GACUGGCUCAAUGGUUAGAGCUUAGGGCUUGUGAACGCAAGGUCCCGGGUUCGAAUCUCGUCAGAGACA
rnacentral:tRNA from 1 species